rnacentral:tRNA from 1 species
GUUAAUGUAGCUUAUGAUAAAGCAAAGCACUGAAAAUGCUUAGAUGGAUGCAAGCAUCCCAUAAACA